GUGCUCACUUAGGUGUCAUAUAUACAAAAAUUGGAAUGAUACAGAGAAGAUUAGCAUGGCCCCUGCACAAGGAUGACACGCAAAUUCGUGAAGUGUUCCAUAUUUUU